UACAGAGGUCUCAAGCGUUGUUCGGAUUCAUUGGGCGUAAAGGGUGCGUAGGCGGUCGGGUAAGUCGGAUGUGAAAUCUCAGGGCUCAACCCUGAAACUGCAUUCGAUACUGCUUGGCUAGGGUACUGGAGAGGAGACUGGAAUUUACGGUGUAGCAGUGAAAUGCGUAGAUAUCGUAAGGAAGACCAGUGGCGAAGGCGAGUCUCUGGACAGUUACCGACGCUGAGGCACGAAGGCCAGGGGAGCAAACGGG
rnacentral:rRNA from 1 species